rnacentral:lncRNA from 1 species
UAGACAGUUGGACAAAACGGGCUACACAUUGGGCAACCAUUAGGUUUCCUUGGUGGAGAUCCCUUACACAAUAACUUAAAAGUACUAAACAAACAUCACGGAAUGAAUUAUCUGAAAGAAACAUGAGAAAUGACAAAAAUAAGGAAAACUAUAAAGUAUUUAGCAUCUACUUGCAGCCUUCUUGCAGAUCGGGCUCGGGAACCAGAUCCUCCUGAUCUGAAAUGGUUAAAUAAGGGGUGAGCUACACUAG